AAAAAUGGGAAGAAAGGAAAGAAAAUGGAAGAGAAAUGGAUCGAAACAGAUCGGCCAGAGCUCGGGAAACUGAAUUUUCCUUUCAUAGGCUUCUUGCUUUCCUCCGCUUCCUUGUUCCUCUGCUUCUUGGUUUUCUUCAUUGUUAAGGAAACAAAAAAUGUUUCUUUUCCUUUUUAUAUGUUUCACCAAUUAAUUGGCUAAUCAGAAUUGUCUUGUGUGCUUAGCACGACACUCCGCUAAGUGCACAUGUCCAGCUGGAUCAAGUGACCACGCUCUAAGCGCAGGAUGCGCGCUUGCUGAUGACAACUGUGUUUUCCAAUGUAAUUUCUUGCGCUAAACGGCUUGUUUGAGAUGAGCGGUUCUGAAUCACUGAACAAGGAGGUCGCGCUGAGUGCGACACUUUUGUUAAUCCUCUUCCAUGUCUCUGUUACAACUCUACACAAACUACAACAAAAAUUAAUCUAAAAUCAUUAACUUUAUCAAAACUCAGAAGAAGAAGCUUAGUCCUAUUAUUUUAACACAAAAAUAAGCAAUAAAAGAUAAGAAAAUGAGAUAAUUACUAUGUGAUUUCAUUAUACAAAUAACGUAUGCAUAGCACUUAUCAACAUAUGUGAACUGAUUCAAUCUAUUGGAGAUGAUUUAAACUCAAAUGAAAAGAAGUAUGAGGUGAAUAGUCAAGAAAAUAUAUGGGUCAAGGUCAAUGAUGAUCAGAGAGGUUUUUAUAGGGUAAACUAUGAAGGCAAGCUUGCAGUUUGACUGCGGAAAGCCAUACAACAUAACCGCUUGUGGCCAACAGAUAAAUUUGGUGUGUGCAUUAUGCUAAAUGAUAUAUAAAUAAAAACCUAUGAUGCAACAUUUUUCUAGGAAUGUUAUAUUUGAGAGAAUAUGAUGUGGAUGUAACAAAUAACCACUGCAUAAUUGCCAAUGAAUAUGUAUGAGAGGUCCAGUACAAAGUUAUGAAGAAAGCUUGACUUGAUUUUAUAAGUUUCUUACAUCUAUUUAUCAGUUAGAAGUAAAAAUGUCUCUUGGAUGAAUUUGGAGUUCUGUUCUUUAUAAGCAGGCAUGUUUCAGCACUGGUACACUGUUCCUCUUGAUUUUAAAAGGAAGUGACAGUUCAUAUAAAUUGUUUUUAACUUUACAGGCAUUUUGGAUGAUGGAAAUGCUCUUUGCCAGGCUUGUGAACAGUCACUGUCAUCUUUGCUUAUGUUGAAGGAUGUUUAUAGAAAAGAGAUUGAUUAUGUUAUUGUAUCAAAACUGAUCGAUGUUUGUUAUGAUGUUCUGAAAAUCACCACAGAUGCCAUUCCAGAUUCAGUAAAUGAGCUGAAGCAAUAUUUUAUCAGCCUUCUCAUGUGUUCUGCAGAGUAAAGACUAAAUUUUACAUAUUUUAGUAAGGUUCUUCCUUUUUCACUCAAAAUAAAGCACCUUGAUGAUUGGACUUUUCUUGAGUGAAUAUUGCUUUGAUUGCGAAAUUACAUCAGAUUUGGAGCAUAUAGAUGCCUUAUAAAAAUUGUGCACUUGUAAAAUCAAUAUUAAUAUUAGUCUAUAGGGGUACCAAUAUCUCAAAUCAGAGAACUUUGUAUGCAUAAUGUUCUAUAUCCAACUUGAUUAUUGAUCAUGUAUGCAUACUGUUCUAUAUGCCAUAAUGCUCUCGCAGGAAAAUGGCAUACUAUCUUAAACUUACUGUUUGUGCAGACAGUUAGGUUGGGAUUCUAUAUCUGGAGAAGAUCAUUCUAUUUCACUCUUGAGAGGAGAAGUUUUUCAAGCCUUGGCUACCUUUGAUCAUGCUAAAACACAGCAAGAUGCAUUAUGCCGCUUUCAGAUUUUGUUAGAUGGCAGAAAUACUUCUCUGCUUCCAGCCAACAUUAGAAGGGUUGCUUAUAUAGCUGUAAUGAGGAAUACUACCACAGAAAAUAGGACUGGAUUGGAAUCCCUAUUGAGUUUCUAUAGGAGUACUGAUGUAUUGCUGGAAAGGGAAAAAUAUUACGUUGUAUAGCAUCAAGUGCAGAUCCAAAUGUAGUUAUAGAAGUUCUGAAUCUUUUGUUGUCCGAUGCGAUUCCAGAUCAAGAUAUUAUUUAUGUACUAGCAGGAAUAAGCAAUGAAGGCAGUGAAACUGCUUGGAGAUGAUUGAAGGAUAAUUGGGAAAGAAUAUUGGCCAGAUAUGGUGCGGGACUUUUACUUACCAAUUUCAUAAGCCAAAUGUUCCCACUGGUUAAUAGUGAUGAGAAAGCAGAUGAGAUAGAAGAAUUUUUUGCCAGUCACAUGAACCAUUCCAUCAUUAUGAAUUUGAAGUUAAGCAUUGAACAGAUCUGAAUCAAAGCAAGAUGGAUUCAAAGUGUAAGGCAAGAGCACUCUCUGCCCGACUUGAUCAAACAAUUAGCUCACAGGAAAUGAUAGCUUUGACAACAGUUUCCUUUUAAGCAAAUCUAUUAACAUAGACAGUUUCCACUAAGCUGUCUAUACUUCUGCCUCUAGUACAUUCCUAAUAUCUUGCUAUAUUUGAAUAAAUUCCAGUUUGGGAAUAGUUGGGUCAGUUCAAAAUAGUUUACCAAGCUGUCAUGUAUUCCUAAUAGUUUAUCUUCCUUAUUUGAUUCAACUUUAAACAAAGAAAUUGUUGUAUUAGUGAAAAUGGCAAGUCUAUUCACUGGACAUGGCAAGUCUAUUCGGCGGACAAAUUCUAAUUUAUUGUAAUUUGCAGCAAAUGCCUAUCUCUGAGAAGUAACAUUCUUUCCGCGGCACACAAUUUGUG